UACGUAGGGUGCGAGCGUUAAUCGGAAUUACUGGGCGUAAAGUGUGCGCAGGCGGCCGCGCAAGUCGAGUGUGAAAUCCCCGGGCUCAACCCGGGAACUGCGUCCGAGACUGGAAGGCUUGAAUCCGGGAGAGGGAUGUGGAAUUCCAGGUGUAGCGGUGAAAUGCGUAGAUAUCUGGAGGAACAUCGGUGGCGAAGGCGGCAUCCUGGACCGGUAUUGACGCUGAGGCGCGAAAGCCAGGGGAGCAAGCGGG
rnacentral:rRNA from 1 species